rnacentral:tRNA from 1 species
GGCGGUUAAGUGCUCACUCAGCUGCUAACUGAAAGGUUGGUGGUUCAAACCCACCAGCCGCUC